UAAGACUUUUUCCUGGGGAAAGUGGCCAUGAAAAAAAAAAACACACUAAAAUUUCUAAAUUUGCCGCUCAAAACUCGUGUUGCUCAACAAAUAUUUCAGUUUAAGUAUAACUCUUGAACUGGGCAUCAUGCAUUCUCUAUAUGCUUAAGGCAGUACUUCUCCCUGUAGUCAUCUGCUGUUAUUUUUCUCUCUUAUUGUGCAGUCUCGCCAGACUUGAAAAUACAUGGAAAUCUGAGUGUGACUGCACUGAAGGAAUAAAUGUGGCAAGCCUGGAGACUGACAGAUUUUCAAGGGCAGAAAAAGGUUGUAGAAGGUCUUAAAUUUGAUUCCCAUACAUUCAGAUUGUUAGCUUUCUUGUGGAUGUAACCACACUCUGAAUUUCCUGGAGCAGUGCACGUUCGCUCCAUUCAUCCCCGCAGUGCUCUCCUCCAAUACUUUCUGAGUAGCUUAUUGCAUUUUGCAUUCAACCUCACUUCCAAUUCAAUAAUUUUACUCUUGUUUUGGACAGGAACUUGAAAAGAUUUUCAACCUAAUUUUAUUUCUAGCUAAAACAAAUCUCAUUUUGUGAUUAAAUGAAGCUUGUCUCACAGGCUGUAGGUCACAUCCUGCAAAAACCACCAACCAGAAAAAACAUCCGCCGCUGCCAGCGCUUCUGCAAGGCUGAAUUAAGAGAUCCUGCAAAGGUAGCUCAGCACAAUGCAGCCUGGGAAUCACCAAGACCUGCUUACAACCACGGAUCCGCAGCACGGAGCAUGCAAGUGGCUGGGGGCGGUCGGAAACCGGAGGUGGUGAGCUUAAACACACUGCUAGAAGGGAAAGAAAAAAAAGAACCAAAAUACAAGCUCAACAUGGAGAGACUGCGACAGCUGGGAAGAUGAGAACCUGAGUGUGAUAAAAGGUGGGUUCAAGAGAUCAUAGAAUCAUUAAGGUCAUAAGUCCAACUCAAACCCAUCCCUGCCAUGCCCACUACCCAUGUCCCUCAGUGCCACAUCCACACGUUUCUUGAACACCUCCAGGUGACUCCACAGUUCAAGAGGCAAAGGUGGAGCAGAACAGGAAGAGCCAGGGGCUCCAGGUGAUACGUGCUAAUAGGGCAGCCCCAUAGACAGAAAGAUAGAGAUAUAGAAACUGGCCCGGAGCGUAAAUUAGGAUGCUGCUCAUGCACAUUUUAUAAAAAAAAAAUUAAUUACUGAUUAGCGGAUAAAGCAACAGUCAGAAAUUUUGGAGGAAAUGUGUCAGUAAUGCAUUUGUGUCAACAGAUG
rnacentral:lncRNA from 1 species